rnacentral:rRNA from 1 species
GACGAACGCUGGCGGCGUGCCUAAUACAUGCAAGUCGAACGCUGAAGGAGGAGCUUGCUUCUCUGGAUGAGUUGCGAACGGGUGAGUAACGCGUAGGUAACCUGCCUGGUAGCGGGGGAUAACUAUUGGAAACGAUAGCUAAUACCGCAUAAGAGUAGAUGUUGCAUGACAUUUGCUUAAAAGGUGCAAUUGCAUCACUACCAGAUGGACCUGCGUUGUAUUAGCUAGUUGGUGGGGUAACGGCUCACCAAGGCGACGAUACAUAGCCGACCUGAGAGGGUGAUCGGCCACACUGGGACUGAGACACGGCCCAGACUCCUACGGGAGGCAGCAGUAGGGAAUCUUCGGCAAUGGACGGAAGUCUGACCGAGCAACGCCGCGUGAGUGAAGAAGGGUGUCGGAUCGUAAAGCUCUGUUGUAAGAGAAGAACGAGUGUGAGAGUGGAAAGUUCACACUGUGACGGUAUCUUAACAGAAAGGGACGGCUAACUACGUG